AUCCCAACUUUAAUUAAUAGGAAAAUAUUAAUUAGAGAUGUUAUUGGAAACUAAAUAGAAAUGAGAGUACAAGUAUUAAGGGAUACUCAAAUGACACAAGCACACUUUGAAGUUAAGUGAAAGGAUAAAAUGGUAAUUAAACUAUGCCUAUAUAAGGUCAUCACACUCACUCUACCUCCUAUUUUCAUAAAGCAAUUUCAGAGCACCUCACCCCAACACUCUCUUCUCUCUCCGUGUCCUUCAUUACCACCCCCAACAUCAAAGCUCACCCCACUAAUAUCACUUCAAUGUUGCAUGCAAGUUAGGAAUUGAAUUCUUUGAGUCUCAAGAAGCAAGGUUAGAACCCAUAACUUCCUUCUCCUUCCCUCUGCCACGCAAUAAUCUCCCUCUCCACCUUAACCCAAAUCAUUCUUAGCCUCCAAACCCUUAUUCACUAAACUGCUCAUUCAUUUCCAAUCCUUCAACUUAUGGUGGUUGCAUGUGAAAUUAAAGCACUUAUGAACCUUUGGGUAUUUGAUAUAAACUGGGAUUUAAAGUGGAAGUGAACAGAAAUGGAAGAUUUAAGGAGUUGAAGAUGGAAGCUUGGUUUGGUGAAGUUUGGAAGAAUUUAUGUAAAAACCAGUAUUUCUGGACAUACACUCACUAAAAAGCCUCGUGAGAUUUGGUGGAGAAAUAAGGUCUGUGCGAAUUUUUGAAAUGAAAGGUUCAAUACAGGAUUUUGCAGAUUUCGUGUUUGGACAAGGCUGCACUUAAAUGGUGAGUUCUCACUCUCUAUAAUUCUGUUUGAAAUCUCGUUUGUUUCUAUGGAUAGCUAACUCAAUUACGGUCGUCUUGGUUCCGGUUUGGUAUAUUUUGGAUGAGUAAUGAGCUCAGAGGACGCAUUUAAAGUUGGAGGUCUGAAGCUGCGUUAUGCAGAAAAUUCUGUUGCGAAUUUGCGUAUUCGAGUGGCACAAUCGGAUGGUUGUUAAGCGUGCGGGACAACUCGGUACUGCAAUUCAUAUCAGACAAGCAGGUUGAUUGAGAUAUCUUGGUUUGUUAGCACGAAGAUUCAGAUACGUGGAUUACGUUAUGGAGCUGACAUCAUGUUAAUCUUAUUAUUAUAUAAGAUUCGGUUUAUUUGAGUUUAGUAGUUAGCUCAAUCAUGUAUUCAUUUAGUGGAUUAUUGUAAUCCUAUUGAUGUAUUUGAUCUUGAUGUAGUGAAAAAUUAAUGUUUCCCGAUUCAGUUAUGUACACUCUUGUUGAUAUUCUAGAUAAAUUGACAUGAGAUGUUAUAAUUGGUAUCAGAGCCUGGUUGGGGGGUACACACAAAAAUAUGAGACACUGGCUGGUGUGAAUAGGUUAUCUAAUAAACUGAUUGCUAAGGAACUGUCA